GAUGAACGCUGGCGGCGUGCCUAAUACAUGCAAGUCGAGCGAACAGAUGAGGAGCUUGCUCCUCUGACGUUAGCGGCGGACGGGUGAGUAACACGUGGAUAACCUACCUAUAAGACUGGGAUAACUUCGGGAAACCGGAGCUAAUACCGGAUAAUAUAUUGAACCGCAUGGUUCAAUAGUGAAAGACGGUUUUGCUGUCACUUAUAGAUGGAUCCGCGCCGCAUUAGCUAGUUGGUAAGGUAACGGCUUGCCAAGGCAACGAUGCGUAGCCGACCUGAGAGGGUGAUCGGCCACACUGGAACUGAGACACGGUCCAGACUCCUACGGGAGGCAGCAGUAGGGAAUCUUCCGCAAUGGGCGAAAGCCUGACGGAGCAACGCCGCGUGAGUGAUGAAGGUCUUCGGAUCGUAAAACUCUGUUAUUAGGGAAGAACAAAUGUGUAAGUAACUAUGCACGUCUUGACGGUACCUAAUCAGAAAGCCACGGCUAACUACGUG
rnacentral:rRNA from 1 species